rnacentral:lncRNA from 1 species
UAAUGGUUUUUGUCAGGUAUGGGCUAUUAAGCAUGCGAAUAGUAUUGUUGGAAGCCACCGGCCACCGUUCAUGUAUCCACGUCUCCUACGUUGGAACAACACCCAAUUCCCUCGCAAGGUGGAUGUGAUUGCCGAUGUUACGAAGAACUUAAAACGAUUUGAGGUUUGAAUGUUAAUUUCUUGGAUUGCAAAUAUUUUAACUUAUUGCAAAACUUAAGUAUUCGCUUGCUUUAGGUGAUCGAGAAGCUACAACUUAGAAAGGAGGAGUUGCACCUUCUCUCGCAAGGAAGGCUACAACUAGUUCGUCCGAUAGAGAAGAGUUAAAGAACUGCAAAAAGGUGUGCAUGUUGGAACUCAGGUAUCCACAUACUGUGACUUAGCCUUUCUGAAACUUACAACCACUUUUGAUUUGGCAUGCACUUUUCACUUUUUUUUUUGUCUACGCAACUUUCACUUGCCGGCACAUAGUUAACUCCAUAUGACACAUUCCUAUCUACUAUGUACACUUUAUCAGUUCAUGGUAGAACACAUUAACAAGUAAUUGGCACACAUUUAUUCUCAUUUGCCACGCACCUAUUAGGAACACACUUAUUAAAUCAUGGCA